rnacentral:rRNA from 1 species
CCCUUAGAUGUUCUGGGCUGCACGCGCGCUACAAUGAUAUAGAGAAAAAGUAUGGUUCGGUUUUGGCAAAAACUGGUAAUCAGGAGUUGCUAUCGUAGCUGGAAUCGACAAUUGCAAUUAUUGGUCGUCAACGAGGAAUUCCUAGUAAACGCAAGUCAUCAACUUGCAUUGAUUACGUCCCUGCCCUUUGUACACACCGCCCGUCGCACCUACCGAUUGAAUGGUCCGGUGAAGCCUCCGGAUUGGCGCGCACCUCGGUGCCGCCGAGAAGUUGGCUAAACCUUACCAUUUAGAGGAAGGUGAAGUCGUAACA